UACGUAGGGGGCAAGCGUUGUCCGGAAUUAUUGGGCGUAAAGCGCGUGUAGGCGGCCAGAUAAGUCCGGUGUGAAAUCUCGAGGCUCAACUUCGAGCUGUCGGUGGAAACUGUCUGGCUAGAGUCCGGAAGAGGAGAAUGGAAUUCCUGGUGUAGCGGUGAAAUGCGCAGAUAUCAGGAAGAACACCCGUGGCGAAGGCGGUUCUCUGGGACGGUACUGACGCUGAGACGCGAAAGCGUGGGGAGCGAACAGG
rnacentral:rRNA from 1 species